rnacentral:misc_RNA from 1 species
AUUUUCCUAUCAUUGCUGACCCCUUGAAGAUCAGCCUUGUCCUCAAGGCUGAGAUAUGGAAACUGAAUUUGAAUGAAGUCCAUCCAGGUUGUUUCAUAAGGAUAAUGAAAAUCAACACCAAUAAUGGUAUUUGCAGUGCCAAUUGUGUCAACAAAUUCCAGUGGAAGUAUCUGCUCAGUUGCUUCUACAAACAACUUGUCAUUUAUUGCUCGUAUCCAUUUUGCUUUUAGCUUUAUCAAUGUCAAUGAAAAACAUGUUGUGAUGACAAUUAUAUUGUAGAAAGAGAUAAUUCUUAUGAUUUCAAUUAAUCUGUACAUG